UUUCAGUUUGCUUGCAAACUGGAGAUGGCGACCGGCGCACGGGUGAGUAACACGUAUCCAACCUGCCGAUAACUCGGGGAUAGCCUUUCGAAAGAAAGAUUAAUACCCGAUGGCAUAAUUAGACCGCAUGGUCUUAUUAUUAAAGAAUUUCGGUUAUCGAUGGGGAUGCGUUCCAUUAGGCAGUUGGUGAGGUAACGGCUCACCAAACCUUCGAUGGAUAGGGGUUCUGAGAGGAAGGUCCCCCACAUUGGAACUGAGACACGGUCCAAACUCCUACGGGAGGCAGCAGUGAGGAAUAUUGGUCAAUGGACGAGAGUCUGAACCAGCCAAGUAGCGUGAAGGAUGACUGCCCUAUGGGUUGUAAACUUCUUUUAUAUGGGAAUAAAGUUUUCCACGUGUGGAAUUUUGUAUGUACCAUAUGAAUAAGGAUCGGCUAACUCCGUGCCAGCAGCCGCGGUAAUACGGAGGAUCCGAGCGUUAUCCGGAUUUAUUGGGUUUAAAGGGAGCGUAGGUGGACAGUUAAGUCAGUUGUGAAAGUUUGCGGCUCAACCGUAAAAUUGCAGUUGAUACUGGCUGUCUUGAGUACAGUAGAGGUGGGCGGAAUUCGUGGUGUAGCGGUGAAAUGCUUAGAUAUCACGAAGAACUCCGAUUGCGAAGGCAGCUCACUGGACUGCAACUGACACUGAUGCUCGAAAGUGUGGGUAUCAAAC
rnacentral:rRNA from 1 species